AGCCUUGUGGUGUGACCACGUCAGAUUGCAAACCUGAAGAAGUAGGUUUAACCGCCUGCCGGGGCUU
rnacentral:tRNA from 1 species